rnacentral:rRNA from 1 species
UACGUAGGUGGCAAGCGUUGUCCGGAUUUACUGGGCGUAAAGAGCGCGCAGGCGGUCGUUCAAGUCGCGUGUGAAAGCCCCCGGCUCAACUGGGGAGUGUCACGCGAUACUGAUCGACUCGAAGGCAGGAGAGGGUAGUGGAAUUCCCGGUGUAGUGGUGAAAUGCGCAGAUAUCAGGAAGAACACCCGUGGCGAAGGCGGCUCUCUGGGACGGUACUGACGCUGAGACGCGAAAGCGUGGGGAGCGAACAGG